AGAGUUUGAUCAUGGCUCAGGAUGAACGCUAGCUACAGGCUUAACACAUGCAAGUCGAGGGGAAACGAUAUUGGAAGCUUGCUUCCGAUAGGCAUCGACCGGCGCACGGGUGAGUAACGCGUAUCCAACCUGCCCACCACUUGGGGAUAACCUUGCGAAAGUAAGACUAAUACCCAAUGAUAUCUCUAGAAGACAUCUGAAAGAGAUUAAAGAUUUAUCGGUGAUGGAUGGGGAUGCGUCUGAUUAGGCUUGUUGGCGGGGUAACGGCCACAAGGCGACGAUCAGUAGGGGUUCUGAGAGGAAGGUCCCCANAUUGGAACUGAGACACGGUCCAAACUCCUACGGGAGGCA
rnacentral:rRNA from 1 species